UACGGGGGGAGCAAGCGUUGUUCGGAUUUACUGGGCGUAAAGGGCGCGUAGGCGGCCAGUGCAAGUCAGUUGUGAAAUCUCCGAGCUUAACUCGGAAAGGUCAACUGAUACUGCUCGGCUAGAGUGCGGAAGGGGCAACUGGAAUUCUUGGUGUAGCGGUGAAAUGCGUAGAUAUCAAGAGGAACACCUGCGGCGAAGGCGGGUUGCUGGGCCGACACUGACGCUGAUGCGCGAAAGCUAGGGGAGCGAACGGG
rnacentral:rRNA from 1 species